GACGAACGCUGGCGGCGUGGAUUAGGCAUGCAAGUCGAACGGUAUCAUCCUUUCGGGGGUGAGAGAGUGGCGAACUGGUGAGUAACACGUAGGUUAUCUACCCUCAAGACGGGGACAACCCAGGGAAACUUGGGCUAAUACCGGAUGUGAGCAACUUUUAGUUGUUUGAAAGGUGGCGUAAGCUGUCGCUUGGGGAUGAGCCUGCGUCCUAUUAGUUAGUUGGUGAGGUAACGGCUCACCUAGGCAAUGAUAGGUAGGCGGCCUUAACGGGUGGUCGCCCACACUGGGAUUGAGAUACGGCCCAGACUCCUACGGGAGGCAGCAGUCGAGAAUAGUCUACAAUGGUCGGAAGACUGAUAGUGCGACGCCGCGUGAACGAUGAAUCCCUUCGGGGUUAAAGUUCUUUUAAUGUGAGCAGUGCUUCUUAUAUUAACAGUAUGGGGAAGAGAUAUUAGCAUAUGAAUAAGCAACGGCUAACUCCGUGCCAGCAGCCGGGU
rnacentral:rRNA from 1 species